rnacentral:rRNA from 1 species
GAGUGGCGAACGGGUGAGUAACACGUGGGUAACCUGCCCAUCAGAAGGGGAUAACACUUGGAAACAGGUGCUAAUACCGUAUAACAAUCGAAACCGCAUGGUUUUGAUUUGAAAGGCGCUUUCGGGUGUCGCUGAUGGAUGGACCCGCGGUGCAUUAGCUAGUUGGUGAGGUAACGGCUCACCAAGGCCACGAUGCAUAGCCGACCUGAGAGGGUGAUCGGCCACAUUGGGACUGAGACACGGCCCAAACUCCUACGGGAGGCAGCAGUAGGGAAUCUUCGGCAAUGGACGAAAGUCUGACCGAGCAACGCCGCGUGAGUGAAGAAGGUUUUCGGAUCGUAAAACUCUGUUGUUAGAGAAGAACAAGGAUGAGAGUAACUGUUCAUCCCUUGACGGUAUCUAACCAGAAAGCCACGGCUAACUACGUGCCAGCAGCCGCGGUAAUACGUAGGUGGCAAGCGUUGUCCGGAUUUAUUGGGCGUAAAGCGAGCGCAGGCGGUUUCUUAAGUCUGAUGUGAAAGCCCCCGGCUCAACCGGGGAGGGUCAUUGGAAACUGGGAGACUUGAGUGCAGAAGAGGAGAGUGGAAUUCCAUGUGUAGCGGUGAAAUGCGUAGAUAUAUGGAGGAACACCAGUGGCGAAGGCGGCUCUCUGGUCUGUAACUGACGCUGAGGCUCGAAAGCGUGGGGAGCAAACAGGAUUAGAUACCCUGGUAGUCCACGCCGUAAACGAUGAGUGCUAAGUGUUGGAGGGUUUCCGCCCUUCAGUGCUGCAGCUAACGCAUUAAGCACUCCGCCUGGGGAGUACGACCGCAAGGUUGAAACUCAAAGGAAUUGACGGGGGCCCGCACAAGCGGUGGAGCAUGUGGUUUAAUUCGAAGCAACGCGAAGAACCUUACCAGGUCUUGACAUCCUUUGACCACUCUAGAGAUAGAGCUUCCCCUUCGGGGGCAAAGUGACAGGUGGUGCAUGGUUGUCGUCAGCUCGUGUCGUGAGAUGUUGGGUUAAGUCCCGCAACGAGCGCAACCCUUAUUGUUAGUUGCCAUCAUUCAGUUGGGCACUCUAGCAAGACUGCCGGUGACAAACCGGAGGAAGGUGGGGAUGACGUCAAAUCAUCAUGCCCCUUAUGACCUGGGCUACACACGUGCUACAAUGGGAAGUACAACGAGUCGCGAAGUCGCGAGGCUAAGCUAAUCUCUUAAAGCUUCUCUCAGUUCGGAUUGCAGGCUGCAACUCGCCUGCAUGAAGCCGGAAUCGCUAGUAAUCGCGGAUCAGCACGCCGCGGUGAAUACGUUCCCGGGCCUUGUACACACCGCCCGUCACACCACGAGAGUUUGUAACACCCGAAGUCGGUGAGGUAACCUUUUUGGAGCCAGCCGCCUAAGGUGGGAUAGAUGAUUGGGGUGAAGUCGUAACAAGGUAGCCGUAUCGGAAGGUGCGGCUGGAUCACCUCCUUUCUAAGGAA